GAUGAACGCUGGCGGCGUGCCUAAUACAUGCAAGUCGAGCGAACGGACGAGAAGCUUGCUUCUCUGAUGUUAGCGGCGGACGGGUGAGUAACACGUGGAUAACCUACCUAUAAGACUGGGAUAACCUCGGGAAACCGUAGCUAAUACCGGAUAAUAUUUUGAACCGCAUGGUUCAAAAGUGAAAGACGGUCUUGCUGUCACUUAUAGAUGGAUCCGCGCUGCAUUAGCUAGUUGGUAAGGUAACGGCUUACCAAGGCAACGAUGCAUAGCCGACCUGAGAGGGUGAUCGGCCACACUGGAACUGAGACACGGUCCAGACUCCUACGGGAGGCAGCAGUAGGGAAUCUCCCGCAAUGGGCGAAAGCCUGACGGAGCAACGCCGCGGGAGUGAUGAAGGUCUUCGGAUCGUAAAACUCUGUUAUUAGGGAAGAACAUAUGUGUAAGUAACUGUGCACAUCUUGACGGUACCUAAUCAGAAAGCCACGGCUAACUACGU
rnacentral:rRNA from 1 species